rnacentral:rRNA from 1 species
GACGAACGCUGGCGGCGUGCCUAAUACAUGCAAGUCGAACGCAUUUUCUUUCACCGUAGCUUGCUACGCCGAGAGAAAAUGAGUCGCGAACGGGUGAGUAACACGUCUGCAACUUGCCCAUCAGUGGGGGAUAACACCUGGAAACAGGAGCUAAUACCGCAUAAUUCCAUUUACAGCAUGGCAGAGGGCUGUAAGGCACUUUUGCGUCACUUAUGGAUGUACCCGCGGUGCGUUAGCUAGUUGGUGGGGUAACGGGCUACCAAGGCUGCGAUGCAGAGCCGAGCUGAGAGGGUGGUCCGCCACACUGGGACUGAGACACGGGCCAGACGCCUUAGGGAGGCAGCAGUAGGGAAUCUUCGGACAUGGGGGCAAGUCUGACCGAGCAACGCCGCGUUAGUGGAGAAGGUUUUCGGAUCGUAAAACUCUGUUGUUAGAGAAGAAAAAGCAUGAGGGUGGAACGUUCAUCCCUUGACGGUAUCUAAACAAAAAGCAACGGCUAACUACGUG